UGGGGAAUUUUGGACAAUGGGCGAAAGCCUGAUCCAGCAAUGCCGCGUGUGUGAAGAAGGCCUUCGGGCUGUAAAGCACUUUUGUCCGGAAAGAAAUCCUUGGCUCUAAUACAGUCGGGGGAUGACGGUACCGGAAGAAUAAGCACCGGCUAACUACGUGCCAGCAGCCGCGUAAUACGUAGGGUGCAAGCGUUAAUCGGAAUUACUGGGCGUAAAGCGUGCGCAGGCGGUUUGCUAAGACCGAUGUGAAAUCCCCGGGCUCAACCUGGGAACUGCAUUGGUGACUGGCAGGCUAGAGUAUGGCAGAGGGGGGUAGAAUUCCACGUGUAGCAGUGAAAUGCGUAGAGAUGUGGAGGAAUACCGAUGGCGAAGGCAGCCCCCUGGGCCAAUACUGACGCUCAUGCACGAAAAGCGUGGGGGAGCAAAACAGGAUUAGAUACCCUGGUAGUCCACGCCCUAAAACGAUGUCAACUAGUUGUUGGGGAUUCAUUUCCUUAGUAACGUAGCUAACGCGUGAAGUUGACCGCCUGGGGAGUACGGUCGCAAGAUUAAAACUCAAAUGAAUUGACGGGGUCAUAGCUGUUUCCU
rnacentral:rRNA from 1 species